rnacentral:rRNA from 1 species
UGCGGUAAUUUGACCGUGCAAAGGUAGCAUAAUCAGUAGUCUCUUAAUUGGAGGCUUGUAUGAACGGUUGGAUGAGAGAUAAGCUGUCUUUUUUAUAAUUUAAAAUUUGACUUUUAAGUGAAAAGGCUUAAAUUAAAUAGGGGGACGAUAAGACCCUAUAAAACUUUAUACACGACUCAGUUCAUCUUUAAAUUUUAACUAAAUUAAAGUGAAAUGGGGCGUGUAUUUCGUUGGGGAGACGUUGAUGUAAACUGUAACUGUCUAAUUGAAAAAUAUAAAAAUAAUUAUUAUAUGAUCCUUCUUUGUGGAUAAAAAGAUUAAGUUACUUUAGGGAUAACAGCGUAAUUCUUUCUGAGAGUUCUUAUCGAAGAAAGUAGUUGCGACCUCGAUGUUGAAUUAA